rnacentral:rRNA from 1 species
CGGACCAAGGAGUCCAACAUGUGCGCGAGUCUAAGGGUGGUCUAAACCCGGAGGCGAAAUGAAAGUGAGCCCCUUGUGAGGGGGCAGGCCGAUCCCCUGUUUCUGGCCCUGGCUGGUUCUGGUGCGCUGUGAGUCAAUUUCUGGCGUGUCUGGGCCGGCUGUGGUGGCUGGGGCAGCUCUGCUGCUGCUGCUGCAGCUCCUUCGGGGGCGGGCGGUGGCGGCGGAGUUUUUUUGGGGCGCAGGCCGAGGACUUGCCAUUGUGCGGCGCGGGCAACGGGUUGGCUUCGAGAGGAGCCUUCCUUAUCCCGAUGUCCGCCGGCAAGUACCUGAGAGCGCAGCCGUUGGGACCCGAAAGAUGGUGAACUAUGCCUGGCCAGGACGAAGCCAGAGGAAACUCUGGUGGAGGUCCGAAGCAGUUCUGACGUGCAAAUCGAUUGUCAGAGCUGGGUAUAGGGGCGAAAGACUAAUCGAACCAUCUAGUAGCUGGUUCCCUCCGAAGUUUCCCUCAGGAUAGCUGGCGUUGGAUGGAAUGAGUUUCAUCCGGUAAAGCGAAUGAUUAGAGGCCUUGGUGGUGCAAUGCCGUCAACCUAUUCUCAAACUUUAAAUGGGUGAGACGUAGAGCUUGCUUGAGAGAAUGAUGUGAAGCUUUAUGAUGAAUCUGAAUGCCUAGUGGGCCACU